rnacentral:rRNA from 1 species
CCCUUAGAUGUCCUGGGCCGCACGCGCGCUACACUGAUGCAUUCAACGAGUUUACCUUGGCCGAGAGGCCUGGGCAACCUUUUAAACGUGCAUCGUGAUAGGGAUAGAUUAUUGCAAUUAUUAAUCUUGAACGAGGAAUUCCUAGUAAACGCAAAUCAUCAAUCUGCAUUGAUUACGUCCCUGCCCUUUGUACACACCGCCCGUCGCACCUACCGAUUGGAUGGUCCGGUGAAGCCUCGGGAUUGUGGUUCUUGCCGCUUUAUUGUGGCGUGACCGCGAGAACUUGUCUAAACCUUAUCAUCUAGAGGAAGGUGAAGUCGUAACA